rnacentral:lncRNA from 1 species
UCUUGUUCUUGUAUCAUUGUUCUUGUUCUUAUAUUAUUUCAUAACACGUUAUCAGCACGAGUCUCUAACCAAUUGAAGUUGAUUUCUUCCUUCUCCCCUAAUCAGUGGCGGCUGUGCCUCUAAAACCCUAAUCAGUGGACCUAAAUUUGAAGAUCUCCCUCUAUGUGGAUAUUUAGAGUAUUCAUCAUUGUCUGAAUACUAAAUGAUGAAUCCUCUAAUACCAAAUCCAACUUAGUGGUUUAGCAUAGGGG